AUCAAUUGGUGCUUUCAUUCUUGAACACCAACACCUCUCAUGGCUAAUUCAACCCUUCAACCUCCAUAUUAUCAUCCCAUAACCACCCAUGUUCCAGACCCAUCUCCAUAUUAUACCUCCCACACUCCUCCAUUCUAUCCUCAGCCACCACCCAACACCAACCCUUCAUCUUUUAACUCAUAUUAUUACCCUGCAUCCACCGUACCAACUCCACCCCCUCCACCCAACCCAAAUUUUCCUUCAUAUCCACAUCAUCU
rnacentral:lncRNA from 1 species